GUAGGUGGCAAGCGUUGUCCGGAAUUAUUGGGCGUAAAGCGCGCGCAGGCGGGAUAUCAAGUCUGUCUUAAAAGUGCGAGGCUCAACCUCGUGAGGGGACGGAAACUGGUAUUCUUGAGUGUCGGAGAGGAAAGUGGAAUUCCAAGUGUAGCGGUGAAAUGCGUAGAGAUUUGGAAGAACACCAGUGGCGAAGGCGACUUUCUGGACGAUGUCUGACGCUGAGGCGCGAAAGCUAGGGGAGCGAACGGGA
rnacentral:rRNA from 1 species